ACGACAUUAGACGAAUCAUCUGGAAAGAUGAAUCAAAGAAGGUAAUAAUCCUGUAGUCGAAAAUGUUGUCUCUCUUGAGUGGAUCCUGAGUACGACGGAGCACGUGAAAUUCCGUCGGAAUCUGGGAGGACCAUCUCCUAAGGCUAAAUACUCUCUAGUGACCGAUAGUGAACCAGUACCGUGAGGGAAAGGUGAAAAGCACCCCGGAAGGGGAGUGAAAUAGAACCUGAAACCGUGUGCUUACAAGUAGUCAGAGCCCGUUAAUGGGUGAUGGCGUGCCUUUUGUAGAAUGAACCGGCGAGUUACGAUUUGAUGCAAGGUUAAGCAGUAAAUGUGGAGCCGUAGCGAAAGCGAGUCUGAAUAGGGCGUUUAGUAUUUGGUCGUAGACCCGAAACCAGGUGAUCUACCCUUGGUCAGGUUGAAGUUCAGGUAACACUGAAUGGAGGACCGAACCGACUUACGUUGAAAAGUGAGCGGAUGAACUGAGGGUAGCGGAGAAAUUCCAAUCGAACCUGGAGAUAGCUGGUUCUCUCCGAAAUAGCUUUAGGGCUAGCCUCAAGUGAUGAUUAUUGGAGGUAGAGCACUGUUUGGACGAGGGGCCCCUCUCGGGUUACCGAAUUCAGACAAACUCCGAAUGCCAAUUAAUUUAACUUGGGAGUCAGAACAUGGGUGAUAAGGUCCGUGUUCGAAAGGGAAACAGCCCAGACCACCAGCUAAGGUCCCAAAAUAUAUGUUAAGUGGAAAAGGAUGUGGCGUUGCCCAGACAACUAGGAUGUUGGCUUAGAAGCAGCCAUCAUUUAAAGAGUGCGUAAUAGCUCACUAGUCGAGUGACACUGCGCCGAAAAUGUACCGGGGCUAAACAUAUUACCGAAGCUGUGGAUUGUCCUUUGGACAAUGGUAGGAGAGCGUUCUAAGGGCGUUGAAGCAUGAUCGUAAGGACAUGUGGAGCGCUUAGAAGUGAGAAUGCCGGUGUGAGUAGCGAAAGACGGGUGAGAAUCCCGUCCACCGAUUGACUAAGGUUUCCAGAGGAAGGCUCGUCCGCUCUGGGUUAGUCGGGUCCUAAGCUGAGGCCGACAGGCGUAGGCGAUGGAUAACAGGUUGAUAUUCCUGUACCACCUAUAAUCGUUUUAAUCGAUGGGGGGACGCAGUAGGAUAGGCGAAGCGUGCGAUUGGAUUGCACGUCUAAGCAGUAAGGCUGAGUAUUAGGCAAAUCCGGUACUCGUUAAGGCUGAGCUGUGAUGGGGAGAAGACAUUGUGUCUUCGAGUCGUUGAUUUCACACUGCCGAGAAAAGCCUCUAGAUAGAAAAUAGGUGCCCGUACCGCAAACCGACACAGGUAGUCAAGAUGAGAAUUCUAAGGUGAGCGAGCGAACUCUCGUUAAGGAACUCGGCAAAAUGACCCCGUAACUUCGGGAGAAGGGGUGCUCUUUAGGGUUAACGCCCAGAAGAGCCGCAGUGAAUAGGCCCAAGCGACUGUUUAUCAAAAACACAGGUCUCUGCUAAACCGUAAGGUGAUGUAUAGGGGCUGACGCCUGCCCGGUGCUGGAAGGUUAAGAGGAGUGGUUAGCUUCUGCGAAGCUACGAAUCGAAGCCCCAGUAAACGGCGGCCGUAACUAUAACGGUCCUAAGGUAGCGAAAUUCCUUGUCGGGUAAGUUCCGACCCGCACGAAAGGCGUAACGAUUUGGGCACUGUCUCAACGAGAGACUCGGUGAAAUCAUAGUACCUGUGAAGAUGCAGGUUACCCGCGACAGGACGGAAAGACCCCGUGGAGCUUUACUGUAGCCUGAUAUUGAAAUUCGGCACAGCUUGUACAGGAUAGGUAGGAGCCUUUGAAACGUGAGCGCUAGCUUACGUGGAGGCGCUGGUGGG
rnacentral:rRNA from 1 species